GUAGUCUCGCACAGAUGCAUAUCAAUAAGCGGAGGAAAAGAAACUAACAAGGAUUCCCCUAGUAACGGCGAGUGAAGCGGGAAGAGCUCAAAUUUGAAAUCUUAAAGGGUUUCCCUUUACGAAUUGUAGUUUAAAGAAGUGUUUUCUGUUGAGGUUUUGGUAAAAGUUCUUUGGAAUAGGACAUCAUAGAGGGUGAGAAUCCCGUAUUUGACCUUUACUUUCAACUUUGUGAUACACUUUCAAAGAGUCGGAUUGUUUGGGAAUGCAGUCCAAAAUGGGUGGUAAAUUUCAUCUAAAGCUAAAUAUUGGCGAGAGACCGAUAGCGAACAAGUACCGUGAGGGAAAGAUGAAAAGAACUUUGAAAAGAGAGUUAAACAGUACGUGAAAUUGUCAAAAGGGAAGCGUUUGACACCAGUGUUGUUUUUCUGAAAAUCAAUUAAAGAACUGUUUAUGCUAAGUUGUUUAGACUUUAUCAGCUAACUGUUUAGUUUUGAGCUUUUCUUUAAUGCACUUUUCAGUUAACAAGUCAACAUCAAUUUCUUUUGCUGUAAAAAAGCUUGAGGAAGGUGGCUUGAGAUUCGUCUUAAGUGUUUAUAGCCUCUUGCCUAUGCAGUCGGAGAGAUUGAGGUCUGCAGCGUAGAUCCUUCGGGGCUAAAUGCAUUUGUGCUAAGUUAUAACAUUUCAUAGACAACUUGUUGACUAUGAUUUGUCUUGUAGCUUACUCGCUUAUGUUAUUUUACCUACGCUUAGGAUGUUGACAGCAGUAUAGACUGU
rnacentral:rRNA from 1 species